AGAGUUUGAUCCUGGCUCAGAUUGAACGCUGGCGGCAUGCCUAACACAUGCAAGUCGAACGGCAGCACAGGUAGCAAUACCGGGUGGCGAGUGGCGGACGGGUGAGUAAGGCAUCGGGAUCUACCCUGACGUGGGGGAUAACCUCGGGAAACCGGGACUAAUACCGCAUACGUCCUACGGGAGAAAGCGGGGGACCUUCGGGCCUCGCGCGGCAGGACGAACCGAUGUGCGAUUAGCUAGUUGGCGGGGUAAUGGCCCACCAAGGCGACGAUCGCUAGCUGGUCUGAGAGGAUGAUCAGCCACACUGGGACUGAGACACGGCCCAGACUCCUACGGGAGGCAGCAGUGGGGAAUAUUGGACAAUGGGCGCAAGCCUGAUCCAGCAAUGCCGCGUGUGUGAAGAAGGCCUUCGGG
rnacentral:rRNA from 1 species